UACAGAGGGGGCAAGCGUUGUCCGGAAUCAUUGGGCGUAAAGCGCGCGUAGGUGGCCUCAUAAGUCCGCUGUGAAAGUCAAAGGCUCAACCUUUGAAAGCCGGUGGAUACUGUGAGGCUAGAGUACGGAAGAGGCGAGUGGAAUUCCUGGUGUAGCGGUGGAAUGCGCAGAUAUCAGGAGGAACACCAAUAGCGAAGGCAGCUCGCUGGGACGUUACUGACACUGAGGCGCGAAAGCGUGGGGAGCGAACAGG
rnacentral:rRNA from 1 species